rnacentral:rRNA from 1 species
AAAGAUGCGCUAAUACCGCAUAAUCUCUAAGGAGAAAAGCAGGGGAUCGCAAGACCUUGCGCUUUUGGAGCGGCCGAUGUCUGAUUAGCUAGUUGGUGAGGUAAAGGCUUACCAAGGCUUCGAUCAGUAGCUGGUCUGAGAGGACGACCAGCCACACUGGGACUGAGACACGGCCCAGACUCCUACGGGAGGCAGCAGUGGGGAAUUUUGGACAAUGGGGGCAACCCUGAUCCAGCCAUGCCGCGUGAGUGAAGAAGGCCUUCGGGUUGUAAAGCUCUUUCAGCCGGAACGAAAAGGUUACGGUUAAUACCCGUGACUAAUGACGGUACCGGAAGAAGAAGCACCGGCUAACUACGUGCCAGCAGCCGCGGUAAUACGUAGGGUGCGAGCGUUAAUCGGAAUUACUGGGCGUAAAGCGUGCGCAGGCGGUUUUGUAAGUCAGAUGUGAAAUCCCCGGGCUUAACCUGGGAACUGCGUUUGAGACUACAAGGCUAGAGUGUGGCAGAGGGGGGUGGAAUUCCACGUGUAGCAGUGAAAUGCGUAGAGAUGUGGAGGAACACCGAUGGCGAAGGCAGCCCCCUGGGUUAACACUGACGCUCAGGCACGAAAGCGUGGGGAGCAAACAGGAUUAGAUACCCUGGUAGUCCACGCCCUAAACGAUGUCAACUAGUUGUCGGGUCUUAACGGGCUUGGUAACGCAGCUAACGCGUGAAGUUGACCGCCUGGGGAGUACGGUCGCAAGAUUAAAACUCAAAGGAAUUGACGGGGACCCGCACAAGCGGUGGAUUAUGUGGAUUAAUUCGAUGCAACGCGAAAAACCUUACCUACCCUUGACAUGUACCGAAGCCCGCCGAGAGGUGGGCGUGCC